GAUUAACGCUAGCGGCAGGCCUAAUACAUGCAAGUUGAACGGGAUUUCGGGUAGCAAUAUCUGGAUGAGAGUAGCGCACGGGUGCGUAACGCGUAUGCAACCUGCCUAUAACUGGGGAAUAGCUCCCUGAAAGGGGAAUUAACACCGCAUAACACUAUUGAUUCGCAUGGAUUGGUAGUUAAAUGUAGCGAUACAGGUUAUAGAUGGGCAUGCGUGACAUUAGCUAGUUGGUGAGGUAACGGCUCACCAAGGCUACGAUGUCUAGGGGUUCUGAGAGGAAGGUCCCCCAACUGGUACUGAGACACGGACCAGACUCCUACGGGAGGCAGCAGUGAGGAAUAUUGGUCAAUGGGCGCAAAGCCUGAACCAGCCAUGUCGCGUGCAGGAAGACUGCCCUAUGGGUUGUAAAACUGACUUUUAAUAGUUAGAAGAAAACACAAUCUACGAGUAGAAUGUCUGCCAGUAUACUAAUGAAUAAGAC
rnacentral:rRNA from 1 species